UUCAAUGCACCUGAAAAUCCAUUCUCACCAUCAUUUCCCAAAAGAGGAGCACGAAGCUUCAUGCCAUAAAAGCGAGUUGACAGUUUUUGUCAUGUCUGUUAGUAUUAGUACAAUUCAGGCAAUUUUCACCCCAUGUAUUAAUAUGUGUGUGCUAUUGACGUUUGUUUGUUGAUUUUGGAAUCAAUCAGAAUUUGCAAGUGAUAUGGAUACCGAAAUUUUUAUUUCGCUUCUUUAUUCAGCUGCUGUGGAACAGGUUCAGUGAUAAAAGUUUCUGCAAAGGCGCACGAGGACAUCAUGGAGCAUAUUGCCGUGGACUGUGGGUGAACGAUAAGAUCCCUUAUUUGAAAUUGCUACUAAAUGAGUUCGAAGAUGUCAAACAAAUCUCCAACUGGUUCAUCAAGGGAUAAAUUUUGAGCGACUUUGUCGAGCUGAAUGUCAAGUUCAACCUGACCCGGAACGCGAUCGACUAAGAGGUGUUCACGACCAAACUGUUCGAUCUGUACUCGGUGGUCAAGAUGUUCCGCUGCCGAACGCCGAAGCUUCGGCUCUAUCAGAGCGGAAUCAACCAACUGUUGGCAUAUCUGAUUCGGUCAUUCUUCGCCCAGGAUUUGUGUAUUAACAGCUGUGCGUUGAUGCAAAAUGCCCUCGAGAAGCCGUGUCUGCCCAAAAUGUACUUGCUCGAGGAAUUGCGGCAUAUGCUGAGCGCGUUUCUGGACGAGAAUCUGCGGAAGCAGCAGUGAGAUAGUGUUUGAAGGAAAAUUAUGUUAUUUUAAUUGUGAAGAUUAUUAUUGCAAUGGUGGAAUAAAAAGACUAGAAUAGAUAGA